ACGAACGCUGGCGGCGUGCCUAAUACAUGCAAGUCGAACGAACUCUGGUAUUGAUUGGUGCUUGCAUCAUGAUUUACAUUUGAGUGAGUGGCGAACUGGUGAGUAACACGUGGGAAACCUGCCCAGAAGCGGGGGAUAACACCUGGAAACAGAUGCUAAUACCGCAUAACAACUUGGACCGCAUGGUCCGAGUUUGAAAGAUGGCUUCGGCUAUCACUUUUGGAUGGUCCCGCGGCGUAUUAGCUAGAUGGUGGGGUAACGGCUCACCAUGGCAAUGAUACGUAGCCGACCUGAGAGGGUAAUCGGCCACAUUGGGACUGAGACACGGCCCAAACUCCUACGGGAGGCAGCAGUAGGGAAUCUUCCACAAUGGACGAGAGUCUGAUGGAGCAACGCCGCGUGAGUGAAGAAGGGUUUCGGCUCGUAAAACUCUGUUGUUAAAGAAGAACAUAUCUGAGAGUAACUGUUCAGGUAUUGACGGUAUUUAACCAGAAAGCCACGGCUAACUACGUGCCAGCAGCCGCGGUAAUACGUAGGUGGCAAGCGUUGUCCGGAUUUAUUGGGCGUAAAGCGAGCGCAGGCGGUUUUUUAAGUCUGAUGUGAAAGCCUUCGGCUCAACCGAAGAAGUGCAUCGGAAACUGGGAAACUUGAGUGCAGAAGAGGACAGUGGAACUCCAUGUGUAGCGGUGAAAUGCGUAGAUAUAUGGAAGAACACCAGUGGCGAAGGCGGCUGUCUGGUCUGUAACUGACGCUGAGGCUCGAAAGUAUGGGUAGCAAACAGGAUUAGAUACCCUGGUAGUCCAUACCGUAAACGAUGAAUGCUAAGUGUUGGAGGGUUUCCGCCCUUCAGUGCUGCAGCUAACGCAUUAAGCAUUCCGCCUGGGGAGUACGGCCGCAAGGCUGAAACUCAAAGGAAUUGACGGGGGCCCGCACAAGCGGUGGAGCAUGUGGUUUAAUUCGAAGCUACGCGAAGAACCUUACCAGGUCUUGACAUACUAUGCAAAUCUAAGAGAUUAGACGUUCCCUUCGGGGACAUGGAUACAGGUGGUGCAUGGUUGUCGUCAGCUCGUGUCGUGAGAUGUUGGGUUAAGUCCCGCAACGAGCGCAACCCUUAUUAUCAGUUGCCAGCAUUAAGUUGGGCACUCUGGUGAGACUGCCGGUGACAAACCGGAGGAAGGUGGGGAUGACGUCAAAUCAUCAUGCCCCUUAUGACCUGGGCUACACACGUGCUACAAUGGAUGGUACAACGAGUUGCGAACUCGCGAGAGUAAGCUAAUCUCUUAAAGCCAUUCUCAGUUCGGAUUGUAGGCUGCAACUCGCCUACAUGAAGUCGGAAUCGCUAGUAAUCGCGGAUCAGCAUGCCGCGGUGAAUACGUUCCCGGGCCUUGUACACACCGCCCGUCACACCAUGAGAGUUUGUAACACCCAAAGUCGGUGGGGUAACCUUUUAGGAACCAGCCGCCUAAGGUGGGACAGAUGAUUAGGG
rnacentral:rRNA from 1 species